UACAGAGGAGCCAAGCGUUGUCCGGAUUGACUGGGCGUAAAGCGCACGCAGGCGGAUGCGCGCGUGGGGUGUGAAAUCUGGCCGCUUAACGGCCAGGCGCCAUCCCAUACGGCGCGUCUGGAGUGAUGCAGAGGUCGGUGGAAUUGCCGGUGUAGUGGUGAAAUGCGUAGAGAUCCGGAGGAACCCCAGAGGCGAAGGCGGCGCCCUGGCUCGCAACUGACGCUCAGACACGACAGCAUGGGGAGCGAACGGG
rnacentral:rRNA from 1 species